rfam:Plasmodium chabaudi chabaudi, WGS project CAAJ01000000 data, contig: PC_RP4029
UUUAAAUAUGAUGGGAGAGCAAAUCCGCCGAAUUUAAGCAUAUAAUUAAGCGGAAGAAAAGAAAAUAACUAUGAUUCCCUAAGUAACGGCGAGUGAACAGGGAAAAGCUCAAAAAGGAAAAUCCUAUUCAUGCGCAAGUCAUGUUAAGGAAUUGUCUGGUUGGAUUUCAUCCUUUUCUAUAAUUUAUGUUAGGUUGCGAAAUGAGUAGGAAUACUAUUCCAUAGAGGGUGAAAGACCCGUAGCUCUUUGCAUUCUAUAGAAAUGGUGAUUUCUGCAGAGUAGUGUUCUUUGAGAUUGGAGCACAAAUAUGUGUGAUAGAUUUCACAUAAAGCUAAAUAUUUGUAGGAGACCGAUAGUAAACAAGUACCGUGAGGGAAAGAUGAAAUAGUACUCAGGAAUGAGAUUUAAAUAGUACCUGAAAUCGUUAAGAUGGAACGGAUUGAGAGAGAAAUAACGUAAGAUGGGGUAUUUCCCUGCUCUUUAGAGCACGUUUUAAUUCCUAUCUUAUUAAAAGAAGCAUCAGUGAAUUGUUGAAUAAUUAAAAUAUAGUUAAGUAUUCUUUACAAAUAUAAUAUAAUAUGUACGUAAAGAUUUCGUAUCACUUCCGCUAAAUUGGUUGGAUAACGAGCUAUUAUUGAUUGUUACGUUUACUGAGGUUAAUAAAAUCUUUAGGGCCUUCGCCCCUAUUGAUUUAAGUUGCUUCUAAAAAGCACUUUCUCAACCCACUCGUCUUGAAACACGGACCAAGGAGUCUAACAAAUGUGCGAGCGUAUAUAUGUUUUUAACUAUAACGAAAUAAAUCUAAACUUUAUGUUCGAUAAUACGCAUAAUUAAUGUAAUUAAUUGGUAGAAUUUUUAGGGGAAACCCUAUUUUGCAUACCAUGCCGGUUGGCAAUUAUGCUAAAUUGAGUAAAAGUAUAUUUGUUAGGACCCGAGAGGCUUUGAACUAAGCGUGGUGAGAUUGAAGUCAGACGAAAGUCUGAUGGAGGAUCGAAUUGAUACUGACGUGCAAAUCGUUCAUUUCAAUCACGUUUAGGGGCGAAAGACUAAUCGAAAAGCCUAUUAGCUGGUUAUUUUCGAAAGAUCUCUCAGGAUCGCUGGAGUUGAUUAAUAUAGUUUUACGAGGUAGAGAUAAUGAUUAGAGGACUCAGGGAAACCAUUUCCUUGACCUAUUCUCAAACUCCCAAUGCGUAAUAAGGGAAUAAUAUCUUCAACUGUAUUUUUUCCACUUUAUAAAUAAAAUAACUCCAAGUGGGCCAUUUUUGGUAAGCAGAACUGGCGAUGAGGGAUGCUCCUAACGCUUGGAUAAGGUGCCUAAAUAUUCGCUCAUUAGAUCCCAUAANAGGUGUUGGUUCAUAAUGACAGUAGGACGGUGGUCAUGGAAGUCGAAA